rnacentral:lncRNA from 1 species
GGGAUUACAGGCAUGCGCCACCACUCCUGGCUAAUUUUUGUAUUUUAGUAGCGAUGGGGUUCCGCCAUGCUGGCCAGGCUGGUCUCAGGUGAUCCGCCCGCCUCCUAAAGUGCUGGGAUUACAGGUGUGGGCCACCGCGCCCGACCUACAGGCGCCUUUUUAUUUGCGAUUUUAAGGUCCUUGCAAUUAGCCUACGUGUUAGAGUCAUUUGGCGUUUGGUAGUAUCCAUGGCAGCAUUUUUUCUUUCUUAAUGCUAUUGUAUUUCUUGGAUCGGGUGUCUUCACAUCACCGGCCUGUGGCUUGGAUGCGGCACAUGGUGUAAUUAGGAGCUCCCCUGUGGGCAUGCAGAUACAGAUAUUUCUCCACUUAAGAAGGGGUCAGGGGGCGCGGUGGCUCACACCUGUAAUCCCAGCACUUUGGGAUGCUGAGGCAGGCGGAUCACCUGAGGUCAGGAGUUCGAGACCAGCCUGACCAACAUAGUGAAACCCCAUCUCUACUAAAAGUACAAAAAUUAGCUCGGCGUGGUGGCGCUUAAUCCCAGCUACUUAAGAGGCUGAGGCAGGAGAAUAACUUGAACCCAAGAAGCGGAGGUUGCAGUGAGCAGAGAUCGACAAGAGCAAGACUCCGUCUAAAAAAAAAAAAAAAAAAUGGGGUCAAGUCCCAGUGAACCCAUCAUGAAGUCGAAACAUCGUAAGUGAAACCACGAUGUUCACAGGUACCUGGAGUUUCUUCCUUCUGGUGGGUUCGUGGUCUCACUGACUUCAGGAGUAAAGUCGCAGACCUUCGCAGUGAGUGUUACAGCUCUUAAAGGUGGCACGUUGGGAGUUGUUUGUUCCUCCGGGGGGUUCGUGGUAUUGCUGACUUGAGGAGUGAAGCUGCAGACCUUCACGCUGAGUGUUACAGCUCAUAAAGGUAGUACAGACCCAAAAAAUGAGCAACAGCAAGAUUUACUGCAAAGAGCAAAAGAACAAAGCCUCCACAGCAUGUAAGAGUACCCCAGCGGGUUGCCCCCGCUGGCGCAGGUGGCCAGCUUUUAUUCCCUUAUUUGGCCCCACCCACAUCCUGCUGAUUGGUCCAUUUUACAGAGCGCUGAUUGGUCCAUUUUUACAGAGUGCUGAUUGGUGCCUUUACAAACCUUUAGCUAACACAGAGUGCUGAUUGGUGUGUUUUUACAGAGUGCUGAUUGGUGUGUUUACAAACCUUUAGCUAGACACAGAGCACUGAUUGGUGCAUUUACAAUCCUUUAGCUAGACAGAAAAGUUCUCCAGGUCCCCACCUGAUUAGCUAGACACAGAGCGCCGAUUGGUGCGUUUUUACAGAGUGCUGAUUGGUGUGUUUACAAACCUUUAGCUAGUCACAGAGCGCUGAUUGGUGCAUUUACAAUCCUUUUUAGCUAGACAGAAAAGUUCUCCAAGUCCCCACCCGACCCAGAAGCCCAGCUGGCUUUGCCUCUCAGUACCACUGCUCUCCAGCCUGGGCGACAGAGCAAGACUCCGUCUCAAAAAAAAAAAAAUAGCACUAAAAGAAACUUAUUAAAAAAGAAAAACAUUGUCAGGUCAGGCUAAAGGUUAAAGAGGAAAAAAAAUCACAGGGUAGGGUCAAAGAGUGGCGAUAACAGAGAAGAGAGUCAUGAGACUUGAAAUUAAAUAAUAGAAAUUACUCAAUAUUAACUGCAGAGAGAAAAUAGACUGAAAAAAAUUAGCAGAGCCUCAGUAACCUGUGGGACUGUGAUGAAAGAUUUAACAUCAUGUCAUCAAAGUCCCCCCAAAAAAGAGAAAAAAGCAUGAAGCUGAAAAAUAUUCAAAGAUAUGAUGGCUCAAGAUUUUCCAAAAAUUGCAAAAGACAUAGCCUAAACCGAAUAAACUCCUAACAAGUCUGAGGCAAUCUAUAUCAAUAUAUAUAUCAUAAUCAAACGCCUGAAAACUAAAGGCAAAGAAAAAAGUAUUAAAAACAGCAAGACAGAAAUUCUACCAUAUUUAUAAGGGAAAAGCAAUUUUUUUUUUUUUUGAGAUGGAGUCUCGCUCUUUUGUCAGGCUGGAGUGCAGUGGUGCAAUCUCGGCUCACUGCCACCUCUGCCUCCCGAGUUCAAGCGAUUCUCCUCCCUCAGCCUCCAGAGUAGCUGGGACUACAGGCGCGCACCACCAUGCCCAGCUAAUUUUUGUAUUUUUAGUAGAGACAGGGUUUCACUGCGUUGGCCAGGAUGGUCUCAAUCUCUUGAUCUCAUGAUCCGCCCACCUCGGCCUCCCAAAGUGCUGGGAUUACAGGCGUGAGCCACCGCGCCCUGCCAGGAAAAGCAAUUUUUAAAUGACGGCAUAUUUCUCCUCCGAAAUCACAGAGACCAGAAGGAAGUGACACAGUAUUUUCCAAGUGCUGAAAGAAAAGCAGUGUCAAUCGAGAAUUCUAUUAUCCAGUGAAAACAGCCUUCAAAAAUGGAAGGGAUAUCAGGGCAAUCUCAGAUGAAGAACUACUAAGAAUUUGUCACCAGCAGACCUACCAUUAAAAAAAUGGCUAAAGGAAAUUCUUGAAAUAGAAAGGAAAUGAUAAGUCUUAGAACAUCAGGGAGGAACACAGAACAACAGAAAGAGUAAAAAUAUAGAUAAAUACACUAGACAUUUCUUCUGCUGAGUUUUCGAGAGUAUCUUUGUCCAAGCAAAAAUUUUAACAUUGUCUAACAUGGUUAUUGAAGUAUGUAGAAGAAUCAUUAAGAUAAUUGUAAGUGAGAGAGGGUAAAAUGACUUAAAAGAAUUGUAAGGUUUCUAUGCUUCAGUCAAACUGGUAAAAUGUCAACACUAGUAGACUGAGAUAUCAAUAUAAUGUAAUAUGUAGAGCAGCUAUUAAAUAAUUUACACAAAGAGAUACACACUAAAUCACUAGACAUAUCAAAAUGGAAUUCUAAAAAGGUGCUAGUAACCCAAAGGAAAGUACGAAAAAGAAAACAGAGAAACCAAGAACAGAGGAAACAAAGAUAACAAAAAAAUUCUAUGGAAGACCUAAGACUUAAUAUACAGGUAAUUACAUUAAAUAUAAACAGUCUAAAUACACUAAUAAAAAGAUAGAUUAGUGAGUGAAACAAGCCAGGCACACAAAGUCAAAUAUCACCUGUUUUCACUCAUAAGUGGGUGCUAAAAAAUGUGUACACAUGAAGACAGAGAUUGGGGUGACAGACAAUGAAGACUUGGAAGGGUGAAGGAGUAUGAGGGGGUCAUAUGAUAGGUAAUUCCUAAUUGGGUACAAUGCGCAUUAUUUGGGUAAUGGAUACCCUAAAAGCCCUGACUUGACCACUAUGUAAUCUAUGCAUAUAACAAAACUGCAUACGGCCGGGCUCAGUGGCUCACGCCUGUAAUCCCAGCACUUUGGGAGGCUGAGGUGUGUAGAUCACUUGAGGUCCAGAGUUCAAGACCAGGUGGGCCAACAUGGUGAAACCCCAUCUCUACUAAAAAUACAAAAAUUAGCUGGGCAUCGUGGCAGGUGGCUGUAAUCCCAGCUACUCAGGAGGCUGAGGCAGGAGAAUCACUUGAACCCAGGAGGUGAAGGUUGUAGUGAGCUGAGAUUGCUCCACUGCACUCCAGCCUGGGUGACAGAGUGAGACUCCAUCUCUAAAUAAAUAAAUCAGCAGGUAUUUAUAAACAUAGGCCAGAUAAUGUCACUUCUCUGCUCACAACCUUCCACUGGUACCACAUCUCACAGCAAAUGGAAGCCAAAGGCCUUACAAUAUUAGCAACAGCCCCAGCUUUCAGGCCACAAAAUUCAUCUUGAAACUGUAGCCUACUGAGUAUUCUUAACGUAAACAUUUCCUUAAUAUAAAGCAGUAUAUAUUCGCUGUAGAAAAACUGAAAAAUAUAAAACAUGUAAAGGGGGAAAUUACUUAUAAUUCCACAGUCUAAAAUAGCCACUACACUGGUUUUUUUAAUAUAUAUAUCUUUUUGUAAAUCUAGUUUUUACAAUUUAAUGAUACUGAGGCAAACAAAUUUGCCACAUCCAUAAAAAUUUUGAAAUCAAAUAGAAAUAAAAUAAUAAAAAGACAGAUUGGCAGAGUAGGUGUUUUUUGUUUGUUUGUUUCUGUUUGUUUUUUUAAAAAAUAGAACCAACAGCAAGCAUAGUGGCUCACACUGGACGCUGAGGUAGGAGGGAGCCCAGGAGUUGGAGACCAACUUGGGCAACCAUAGCAAUGUAGCAGGACGAGCCGCAGACAAAACUCAGACACCGAGUUAAAUAAGGAAGGGGUUUAUUCGGCGGGGGGCAUUGGCAAGACUCCUGUCUCAAGAGCAGAGCUCUCCGAGUGAGCAAUUCCUGUACCUUUUAAGCGCUCACAACUCUACGGGGGUGCGCGUGAGAGGGUCUUGAUCGAUUGAGCAAGCAGGGGGUACGUGACUGGGGGCUGCAUGCACCGGUAAUUAGAUGGGAACAAAACAGGAUAGGGAUUUCCACACUGCUUUUCUAUACAAUGUCUGUAAUCUAUAGAUAAUAUAACCGAUUAGGUCAGGGGUCGAUCUUUAACUACCAGGCCCAGGGUGUGAUGCCGGGCUGUCUGCUUGUGGAUUUCAUUUCUGCCUUUUAGUUUUUACUUUUUCUUUCUUUGGAGGCAGAAAUUGGGCAUAAGACAAUAUGAGGGGUGGUCUCCUCCCUUAGCAAGACUUGGUCCCUACACAUUUUUUUUUUUUUUUUUUUUUUUUUUUUUUUUGAGACGGAGUCUCGCUCUGUCGCCCAGGCUGGAGUGCAGUGGCACCAUCCCGGCUCACUGCAAGCUCCGCCUCCUGGGUUCACGCCUUUCUCCUGCCUC